GAUGAACGCUGGCGGCGUGCUUAACACAUGCAAGUCGAACGGGAUCCAAGGAGCGUUUUUCGUUUUUUGGUGAGAGUGGCGAACGGGUGAGUAACACGUGAGUAACCUGUCCUUUUCUUUGGGAUAAGCUCCUGAAAGGGUGUUUAAUACCUUAUGUUCUGUCUGCCUCGCAUGGGGUGGGUGGGAAAGAUUUUUUCGGUGAAGGGUGGGCUCGCGGUCUAUCAGCUUGUUGGUGGGGUGAUGGCUUACCAAGGCUUGGACGGGUAGCCGGCCGGAGAGGGUGGUCGUCCACAUGGGGACUGAGAUACGGCCCAGACUCCUGCGGGGGGCAGCAGUGGGGGUUAUUGCACAAUGGGCGCAAGCCUGAUGCAGCGACGCCGCGUGGGGGAUGAAGGCCUUCGGUUUGUAACCUUCUUUUGCUCUGAACAAGGCGCAUCUUUGGGGUGUGUUGAGUGUAGGGUUUGAUUAGCGCCGGCUACUACGUG
rnacentral:rRNA from 1 species